rnacentral:rRNA from 1 species
GUGCCAGCCGCCGCGGUAAUACCGGCAGCUCAAGUGAUGUCCCAUAUUAUUGGGCCUAAAGCGUCCGUAGCUGGCCGACCAAGUCUCCCGGGAAAUCCACCCGCCCAACGGGUGGGCGUCCGGUAGAAACUGGCCGGCUUGGAACCGGAAGGCUCAGAGAGUACGUCCGGGGUAGGAGUGAAAUCCCGUAAUCCCGAACGGACCACCGAUGGCGAAAGCAUCUCGAGAAAACGGAUCCGACAGUGAGGGACGAAAGCUAGGGUCUCGAACCGGAUUAGAUACCCGGGUAGUCC